rnacentral:snRNA from 1 species
UUGCUUCAGCAGCACAUAUACUAAAAUUGGGAUGACAGAGAGAAGAUUAGCAUGGCCCCUGUGCAAGGAUG